rnacentral:rRNA from 1 species
UGCCAGCAGCCGCGGUAAUACGAAGGGUGCUAGCGUUGUUCGGAAUUACUGGGCGUAAAGAGCAUGUAGGCGGAUGAAUUAGUCAGAGGUGAAAGCCCCGAGCCCAACUUGGGAACUGCCUCCAAAACUAUCAGUCUAGAGUUCGAGAGAGGUGAGUGGAAUUCCGAGUGUAGAGGUGAAAUUCGUAGAUAUUCGGAGGAACACCAGUGGCGAAGGCGGCUUUCUGGACCGAUACUGACGCUGAGACGCGAAAGCGUGGGGAGCAAACAGGAUUAGAUA